AGCCUAAGAGGCACUACAGGUACGCUUACUGGGUCGCUGUGUCACACGCAUGUCAAUAGGUGCCACAGAGGAGAGAGACUAUGCAGUGCUCUGACCUAUGAACAUCUGCAUGACUAGUAGCUUACCAUU
rnacentral:snoRNA from 1 species